ACACUAUGGAAAUUGCCAUUGGCCUGGUCUGUUGCCUUGUGCAUGAUAAGUGUGCCGAGAUGAAAUGACAUGUUUAGCUCGUGAUCCACUUUGUGUGGGUAAUGAAACCACAUGCCGACAAAC